rnacentral:lncRNA from 1 species
CCGACACUUUUAAAAAGUGUUGCUAUAUGUGGGGUCGCUAGGUAUAUAGUGACAGUUAAAGAGUGUCGCUAUAACCUAAAAGAGUGCUGCUAAUUUACCAACACUUAUUUAAGCAUUUAGCAACCGCCGAAACUCUAUCUCGUUGGCUGCGGUGGCGGAGGAGGACGACAGGAAAGGCUCUUCGUCUAGAAUUUCAGUGGAUUGAGUGAAGAGAGAAGAAAAGAUGGUAAUUGAUUUUUCUUUUUCUUUUUUUCUUUUCUGUUUGUAAUCAGGCCAAAUGGACUGGGUGUGGUGGGUUGAGUAGAGUAAUCUUUUAUUUUUGGUUGGAUUGGGCUUUAUAUUUAGGCAUUAGUAAAUAUUUUUUUUAGUUUUAGCAUAAAUUGGACACUUACUCAAAGUGUCCCAAACAUGUGUCCCUAUAACCUAAUUCUAUUGUAGUGAGCUAGGGUUGAGUAGGUGGUUGGUUGAAUAGUAUAAUCUAACGGGUGUAAAUGAUCAACAGUGCUGAUCUAACGGUUAAAAACCUACAAGCACCAAGUGCUUGGUGCUUUUACAAGCACCAUAGCCGGACUAUAUAUAUAUAUAAAAUCUUAUUAAUUAGACUUUAAUCUAAGGUUGAAAUUUUAUAUAUAAAUGAGGCUUUUUAUAAUUGAGUUAGGCUUUAUAUUUAGUUUGAACUAAAAAUCAAAUAGUAACAAUUUGUAUUAUAUAUAUGACUAUUUAUUUAUAUGUAUAAAUAUAAAAUAUAUGUAUUAGAAUUGUUAUCAAGCCUAACACAAGCGAGCUGGCCCCCCUAUCUUGUGUUCGGCUCAUUUAUUAAACGAGCUGAAAAAUUCAACUCGUGUUCGACUCGUUUACUAAACGAGUGAUUCGAUGUCGAGCUUAUUUCAAGCCAAAUACGAGUUGGCUCGCGAACAGCGAGUUGAAUUGCCACCCCGGCUGCAUGUAGGAAAUGCCACGUGGGCGCCAUGUAGUAAAAUCAUAUCCAAAACAAAUGGUGAGGUGAAUAUUUAGUGUUGAUAAACCUAUUAUCCAUAUAUUGAUUAUUAUAUUAAAUGAAUUGUGGUAUAUAUUUGCCAAAAUUACAUUAUUAUUGCCAAGAGCAUGUUUUACGAGAGAACAUAUUUAUCGGUGUAAGUUUUUGAUUCUCUCAAAGUAUAUCAUAAAUUAUUCUUCUAAAUCAAAUUUAUUUCUUACAUUAUCAAACUUUACCAGAAAUCUUGCACGAUAUGAAUACUCACCAAUUUUUUUUUUUUCAUAGAGAGCGCGCUAGGGUCAGUUGGUUGGUUAGGGAAAAAUUCUAGAAUGUAUCGGUUAUAUCGGUGACAUGGCAUUUCUGACCAAUUAAAUAAAUUUUUUUAAGUUAAUCUGUCAAAUCAUGAUUAUUAAAAAAUAUUUUAAUUUUAAUUUUUUUCUAAAAUAAAAAAUAUAAUUGGUUUAUUAUUACUAGGGGUGUAAACGAGCCGAACACGAGCGAGCUGACCCCAGCUCGUGUUCGGCUUGUUUAUUAAACGAGCUGAAAAAUCCAGCUCGUGUUCGGCUCAUUUACUAAACGAGCGAGCGAUCUCAAGCUCAUUUCGAGCCAAACACGAGCUGGCUCGCGAACAGCGAGCUGGAUUGCCACCCCUAAUUAUUACUGAUAUGGUGCAAAUGUGUUGGUAAGUAAGUAUAUUAUAGCGAAACUCGCUUGGUUUCUUAGGAGGAGAGAUUAGGAAGGCUAAAAGUUGGAUAGAAGUGUCAAACGCCCAAAGUUGAAGCCUUUACUGAGGAUGAAGCAGCCUGAAUUGUCCUAAUUUUUCGAAGUCACAAUAAAGUCCAUCAAGUGGGUAUAAAAUGAACGGUCAAAAUCGAACGAUAUCCUAAAAAUAGAUGAUCAGAUUCUUCAAUUUAAAAUCGGAGUUAUUGAUCUUUAUCUAGAUAGUGAAUAAAAUUUUUUAUUAAAAAUUCAACCGAUUUUCUUUUUUUACACCGUUAAACUAGCAACUAUUCUAUAUCGACCAUUAAAAUUUGUCAAUUUUGAGGUCUUUUGAUCAUAAGGUAAAUAAUGUCAAAAAAAUAUAAAAUUUAAUUUUUAAAAAUUUUAAAUGCUCUAGAAUAAUGUUUAACGGUAUGGAUCGUCGAUUCGGAAGCUCUAUCAUUGAAAAUGAUUUAUGAAUACGAAGGCAAUCGUACUUAUAAAAAGUUUAGUAGCCGAAUUCUCUCUCUCUCACUACAACAAAAACGGUCUAUAACGACACUUUUAAAUGUAGGUACAUGUCAAAAAAGUCCUGCUAGCUAAAAUUACCGACACUUUUAAAAAAUGUUGCUAUAUGUGGGGUCGCUAGGUAUAUAGUGACAGUUAAAGAGUGUCGCUAUAACCUAAAAGAGUGCUGCUAAUUUAUCAACACUUAUUUAAGCAUUUAGCAACCGCCGAAACUCUAUCUCGUUGGCUACGGUGACGGAGGAGGACGACAGUAAAGGCUCUUCGUCUAGAAUUUCAGUGGAUUCAGUAAAGAGAGAAGAAAAGAUGGUAAUUGAUUUUUCUUUUUUUUUUCUUUUCUGUUUGUAAUUGGGCCAAAUAGACUGGGUGUGGUGGGUUGAGUAGAGUAAUCUUUUAUUUUUGGUUGGAUUUGGUUUUGUAUUUAUGCAUUAGUAGAUGUAUUUUUAAGUUUUAGCAUAAAUGGGACACUUACUUAAAAGUGUUCCAAACAUGUGUUCCUAUAACCUAAUUCUGUUGUAGUCUCUCUCUCUCUCUCUCUCUCUCUCUCUCUCUCUAUAUAUAUAUAUAUAUAUAUAU